UUUUUUUGCGAAGGAAGGACCUGAUUGCAUUAUCCAAGUUUCGUACAGAAAAGACCAGGAAAAAAGAAAAAUACAGAUAAGCCCUCCUGGACCCUGUCGUCGUCUCCGCCGAGCACGACGCCACGCCGGCGAAACCUGCCGCUCAUCCUCCAAACCUUGGACUGGGAGGACCCCCGAACGGCCAGGGAGUCGAACGCUCCUCGGUGCGAGCACCUCCACCAUGCAAAGCGACCGGCGACGGCAGCUUGGAUACCUGCAAACGAAGCUUCCAGAUCUUCGAAAACCGGAGCCAUCACUACUUGGCCUCCGGCGCGGGGAAAGCACGCACAGCGCCUCCGACGAGACGCGGGCGAUGCAGGGACGGCGGAUCCGGAGCUGGCCUCCACCGGAGCACCAACGCCAGAGGAGAUGACCGCCAUCUUCAAAGCCACUCCGGCCACGCCUCCAUCUCCGCAGCGCCGCCGGCUAGCACCCUACUGCUACCUACGCUAUAUACACGCCGGGAUCCGGCGAUUCCCCAUCCUCCCGCCACCGGAGCGGCCGCCGGAGGGUGAGGAAUCACACGGAUCGCCGGCGGCGAGGUGGGAGCAGAGGAAGAGCCCAAGAAAUCGCCUCCUUUUACUGUAGCGAUAGGAGGGGAACGGCCCUUUCUCGUCAUGUCGUCAUCUUGCUCACGGACGGUCGAUGGGUGCUCGGCCGGCGACCGGCGUCCGGCGUCCAUCUGCCUCAACUGCGACGAAGGGUGCGCAUGAGUCCAUCUACCUCCACUCCAACGAUGGGUGCCCACUGCCCAGGACUUCCUCUUCUUCCGCCCCGAUCGAUCGGUGCCGGCCCAAUCGGCGCGCACCUACCACCGCGGGAUGACAAGGGAAUGGAAGCAAUACUGAGGAAAUAUGAACCAUGAGAACGUAUUAAUGAUGAUGAGGAUGACAUCUAUGGCAAUUACUCAGAUGGUCUCUGUGUCAAGGGUGAUAAUGACGAUUAUGGUGAUGAGCAGUAAGAACCAUGUGGCGAUAAGCAUGAUGAUAUCAAUGUGAUGAUGGUGAUUAUUAGUGAUGAGUCUAAUGAUCUUUAAGGCAUGCAACAACGUGGAGUUCUGAAGCUUGUGGGCAAUUUAGUUAUGCAAAUUGUUAGACCAUUAUUAUAUCUUAGUUACUAUUAUGUAGUGCAUACGGUACUUCCUUAUGGAUAAUAUACUUUUCGAGGCUAUGCGAAAUAUGUAAUUUAGUCAUGUGUGAUUUGUGGUUGUGUAAAUAUGAGAUGUUUUAAUAAUAUAUGCUAAUAUUCUGAAA